rnacentral:rRNA from 1 species
UUGUCUCAAAGAUUAAGCCAUGCAUGUCUCAGUACAAGCCGAAUUAAGGUGAAACCGCGAAAGGCUCAUUAAAUCAGUUAUGGUUCCUUAGAUCGUACCCACAUUUACUUGGAUAACUGUGGUAAUUCUAGAGCUAAUACAUGCAAACAGAGCUCCGACCGGAGACGGAAGGAGCGCUUUUAUUAGAUCAAAACCAAUCGGUGGCGAUUUCCGUCGUCAUCGUACAACUUGGUGACUCUGAAUAACUUUACGCUGAUCGCACGGUCUUGCACCGGCGACGCAUCUUUCAAAUGUCUGCCUUAUCAACUGUCGAUGGUAGGUUCUGCGCCUACCAUGGUUGUAACGGGUAACGGGGAAUCAGGGUUCGAUUCCGGAGAGGGAGCCUGAGAAACGGCUACCACAUCCAAGGAAGGCAGCAGGCGCGCAAAUUACCCACUCCCGGCACGGGGAGGUAGUGACGAAAAAUAACGAUACGGGACUCAUCCGAGGCCCCGUAAUCGGAAUGAGUACACUCUAAACCCUUUAACGAGGAUCAAUUGGAGGGCAAGUCUGGUGCCAGCAGCCGCGGUAAUUCCAGCUCCAAUAGCGUAUAUUAAAGUUGUUGCGGUUAAAAAGCUCGUAGUCGAAUCUGUGUCCCGCGCCGCCGGUUCAUCGUUCGCGGUGUUAACUGGCGUGCCGCGGGACGUCCUGCCGGUGGGCUUAGCUCGAGAGGGCGGCCCAACUCAAUCCCGCCGCGGUGCUCUUCAUUGAGUGUCGAGGUGGGCCGGCACGUUUACUUUGAACAAAUUAGAGUGCUUAAAGCAGGCUAAAACUUCGCCUGAAUACUGUGUGCAUGGAAUAAUGGAAUAGGACCUCGGUUCUAUUUUGUUGGUUUUCGGAACCCCGAGGUAAUGAUUAAUAGGAACGGAUGGGGGCAUUCGUAUUGCGACGUUAGAGGUGAAAUUCUUGGAUCGUCGCAAGACGGACAGAAGCGAAAGCAUUUGCCAAAAACGCUUUCAUUGAUCAAGAACGAAAGUUAGAGGUUCGAAGGCGAUCAGAUACCGCCCUAGUUCUAACCAUAAACGAUGCCAGCUAGCGAUCCGCCGACGUUCCUCCGAUGACUCGGCGGGCAGCUUCCGGGAAACCAAAGCUUUUGGGUUCCGGGGGAAGUAUGGUUGCAAAGCUGAAACUUAAAGGAAUUGACGGAAGGGCACCACCAGGAGUGGAGCCUGCGGCUUAAUU